UUAAGCGACUAAGCGUACACGGUGGAUGCCCUGGCAGUCAGAGGCGAUGAAGGACGUGCUAAUCUGCGAAAAGCGUCGGUAAGGUGAUAUGAACCGUUAUAACCGGCGAUGUCCGAAUGGGGAAACCCAGUGCAAUUCGUUGCACUAUCGUUAACUGAAUACAUAGGUUAACGAGGCGAACCGGGGGAACUGAAACAUCUAAGUACCCCGAGGAAAAGAAAUCAACCGAGAUUCCCCCAGUAGCGGCGAGCGAACGGGGAGCAGCCCAGAGUCUGAAUCAGCUUGUGUGUUAGUGGAACGGUCUGGAAAGUCCGACGGUACAGGGUGAUAGUCCCGUACACCAAAAUGCACAGGYUGUGAACUCGAAGAGUAGGGCGGGACACGUGGUAUCCUGUCUGAAUAUGGGGGGACCAUCCUCCAAGGCUAAAUACUCCUGACUGACCGAUAGUGAACCAGUACCGUGAGGGAAAGGCGAAAAGAACCCCGGCGAGGGGAGUGAAAAAGAACCUGAAACCGUGUACGUACAAGCAGUGGGAGCACCUUCGGGUGUGACUGCGUACCUUUUGUAUAAUGGGUCAGCGACUUAUAUUCUGUAGCAAGGUUAACCGUAUAGGGGAGCCGCAGGGAAACCGAGUCUUAACUGGGCGUUAAGUUGCAGGGUAUAGACCCGAAACCCGGUGAUCUAGCCAUGGGCAGGUUGAAGGUUGGGUAACACUAACUGGAGGACCGAACCGACUAAUGUUGAAAAAUUAGCGGAUGACUUGUGGCUGGGGGUGAAAGGCCAAUCAAACCGGGAGAUAGCUGGUUCUCCCCGAAAGCUAUUUAGGUAGCGCCUCGUGAAYUCAUCUUCGGGGGUAGAGCACUGUUUCGGCUAGGGGGUCAUCCCGACUUACCAACCCGAUGCAAACUACGAAUACCGAAGAAUGUUAUCACGGGAGACACACGGCGGGUGCUAACGUCCGUCGUGAAGAGGGAAACAACCCAGACCGCCAGCUAAGGUCCCAAAGUCAUGGUUAAGUGGGAAACGAUGUGGGAAGGCACAGACAGCCAGGAUGUUGGCUUAGAAGCAGCCAUCAUUUAAAGAAAGCGUAAUAGCUCACUGGUCGAGUCGGCCUGCGCGGAAGAUGUAACGGGGCUAAACCAUGCACCGAAGCUGCGGCAGCGACACUAUGUGUUGUUGGGUAGGGGAGCGUUCUGUAAGCCUGCGAAGGUGWSCUGUGAGGSWUGCUGGAGGUAUCAGAAGUGCGAAUGCUGACAUAAGUAACGAUAAAGCGGGUGAAAAGCCCGCUCGCCGGAAGACCAAGGGUUCCUGUCCAACGUUAAUCGGGGCAGGGUGAGUCGACCCCUAAGGCGAGGCCGAAAGGCGUAGUCGAUGGGAAACAGGUUAAUAUUCCUGUACUUGGUGUUACUGCGAAGGGGGGACGGAGAAGGCUAUGUUAGCCGGGCGACGGUUGUCCCGGUUUAAGCAUGUAGGCUGRUUGUCCAGGCAAAUCCGGAUAAUCAAGGCUGAGGUGUGAUGACGAGGCACUACGGUGCUGAAGUAACAAAUGCCCUGCUUCCAGGAAAAGCCUCUAAGCAUCAGGUAACAUCAAAUCGUACCCCAAACCGACACAGGUGGUCAGGUAGAGAAUACCAAGGCGCUUGAGAGAACUCGGGUGAAGGAACUAGGCAAAAUGGUGCCGUAACUUCGGGAGAAGGCACGCUGGUGUGUAGGUGAAGYCCCUGCGGRUGGAGCUGAGACCAGUCGAAGAUACCAGCUGGCUGCAACUGUUUAUUAAAAACACAGCACUGUGCAAACACGAAAGUGGACGUAUACGGUGUGACGCCUGCCCGGUGCCGGAAGGUUAAUUGAUGGGGUUAUCCGUAAGGAGAAGCUCUUGAUCGAAGCCCCGGUAAACGGCGGCCGUAACUAUAACGGUCCUAAGGUAGCGAAAUUCCUUGUCGGGUAAGUUCCGACCUGCACGAAUGGCGUAAUGAUGGCCAGGCUGUCUCCACCCGAGACUCAGUGAAAUUGAACUCGCUGUGAAGAUGCAGUGUACCCGCGGCAAGACGGAAAGACCCCGUGAACCUUUACUAUAGCUUGACACUGAACAUUGAGCCUUGAUGUGUAGGAUAGGUGGGAGGCUUUGAAGCGUGGACGCCAGUCUGCGUGGAGCCAACCUUGAAAUACCACCCUUUAAUGUUUGAUGUUCUAACGUUGGCCCCUKACCGGGGUUGCGGACAGUGUCUGGUGGGUAGUUUGACUGGGGCGGUCUCCUCCCAAAGCGUAACGGAGGAGCACGAAGGUUAGCUAAUCCUGGUCGGACAUCAGGAGGUUAGUGCAAUGGCAUAAGCUAGCUUGACUGCGAGCGUGACGGCGCGAGCAGGUGCGAAAGCAGGUCAUAGUGAUCCGGUGGUUCUGAAUGGAAGGGCCAUCGCUCAACGGAUAAAAGGUACUCCGGGGAUAACAGGCUGAUACCGCCCAAGAGUUCAUAUCGACGGCGGUGUUUGGCACCUCGAUGUCGGCUCAUCACAUCCUGGGGCUGAAGUAGGUCCCAAGGGUAUGGCUGUUCGCCAUUUAAAGUGGUACGCGAGCUGGGUUUAGAACGUCGUGAGACAGUUCGGUCCCUAUCUGCCGUGGGCGCUGGAGAAUUGAGGGGGGCUGCUCCUAGUACGAGAGGACCGGAGUGGACGCAUCACUGGUGUUCGGGUUGUCAUGCCAAUGGCACUGCCCGGUAGCUAAAUGCGGAAGAGAUAAGUGCUGAAAGCAUCUAAGCACGAAACUUGCCCCGAGAUGAGUUCUCCCUGAGACUUUAAGUCUCCUGAAGGAACGUUAAAGACGAUGACGUUGAUAGGCCGGGUGUGUAAGCGCAGCGAUGCGUUGAGCUAACCGGUACUAAUGAACCGUGAGGCUUAACCU
rnacentral:rRNA from 1 species